AGUCAUAUGCUUGUCUCAAAGAUUAAGCCAUGCAUGUCUAAGUAUAAACUGCUUUAUACUGUGAAACUGCGAAUGGCUCAUUAAAUCAGUUAUAGUUUAUUUGAUGGUACUUUACUACUCGGAUAACCGUAGUAAUUCUAGAGCUAAUACGUGCGUAAAUCCCGACUUCUGGAGGGGACGUAUUUAUUAGAUAAAAGACCGACCGGGCUUGCCCGACUCGCGGUGAAUCAUGAUAACUUCACGAAUCGCAUGGCCUUGUGCCGGCGAUGUUUCAUUCAAAUUUCUGCCCUAUCAACUUUCAACCGUAGGGUAGUGGCCUACGGUGGUGGUAACGGGUGAC
rnacentral:rRNA from 1 species